GACGAACGCUGGCGGCGUGCCUAAUACAUGCAAGUUGAGCGCUGAAGGUUGGUACUUGUACCAACUGGAUGAGCAGCGAACGGGUGAGUAACGCGUGGGGAAUCUGCCUUUGAGCGGGGGACAACAUUUGGAAACGAAUGCUAAUACCGCAUAAAAACAUUAAACACAAGUUUUAAGUUUGAAAGAUGCAAUUGCAUCACUCAAAGAUGAUCCCGCGUUGUAUUAGCUAGUUGGUGAGGUAAAGGCUCACCAAGGCGAUGAUACAUAGCCGACCUGAGAGGGUGAUCGGCCACAUUGGGACUGAGACACGGCCCAAACUCCUACGGGAGGCAGCAGUAGGGAAUCUUCGGCAAUGGACGACAGUCUGACCGAGCAACGCCGCGUGAGUGAAGAAGGUUUUCGGAUCGUAAAACUCUGUUGGUAGAGAAGAACGUUGGUGAGAGUGGAAAGCUCAUCAAGUGACGGUAACUACCCAGAAAGGGACGGCUAACUACGUG
rnacentral:rRNA from 1 species